rnacentral:rRNA from 1 species
UACGUAGGGGGCAAGCGUUAUCCGGAUUUACUGGGUGUAAAGGGAGCGUAGACGGUAUGGUAAGUCAGAUGUGAAAGCCCGGGGCUCAACCCCGGGACUGCAUUUGAAACUAUCAAACUGGAGUGCAGGAGAGGUAAGUGGAAUUCCUAGUGUAGCGGUGAAAUGCGUAGAUAUUAGGAGGAACACCAGUGGCGAAGGCGGCUUACUGGACUGUAACUGACGUUGAGGCUCGAAAGCGUGGGGAGCAAACAGGAUUAGAUACCCCGGUAGUCUCUGAGCGGG